rnacentral:rRNA from 1 species
UACGUAGGGGGCAAGCGUUGUCCGGAAUCAUUGGGCGUAAAGAGCGUGUAGGCGGCUCGGUAAGUCCGCUGUAAAAGUCCAGGGCUCAACCCUGGAAAGCCGGUGGAAACUGUCGAGCUAGAGUCCGGAAGAGGCGAGUGGAAUUCCUGGUGUAGCGGUGAAAUGCGCAGAUAUCAGGAGGAACACCAAUGGCGAAGGCAGCUCGCUGGGACGGUACUGACGCUGGAGACGCGAAAGCGUGGGGAGCAAACAGG